GACGAACGCUGGCGGCGUGCUUAACACAUGCAAGUCGAACGGAAAGGCCCUGCUUUUUUGCGCUGCUCGGGUGGCGAACGGGUGAGUAACACGUGAGUAACCUGCACUUGACUGUGGGAUGACUUCAUGACACUGGGGCUCAUACCAGCUAGGAUCUCCUGCUUCAUGGUGGGGGUUGGAUAGUUUCGGCGGUUGGGGAUGGACUCGCGUCUUAUCAGCUUGUUGGUGGGGUAGUGGCUUACCAAGGCCUUGACGGGUGGCCGGCCUGCGAGGGGGACCGGCCCCAUUGGGACUGAGAUACGGCCCAGACUCCUACGGGACGCAACAGUGGGGAAUAGUGCACAAUGGGAGGAAGCCUGAUGCGACAACGCCGCGUGCGGGAAGACGGCCUGCGGGUUGUAAACCGCUUUCGCCUUAGACGAAGCGUGAGUGACGGUAAUGGGUAAAGAAGCACCGGCUAACUACGUG
rnacentral:rRNA from 1 species